rnacentral:tRNA from 1 species
GUCUCUGUGGUCUAGUGGUAUGAUUCUCGCUUAGGGUGCGAGAGGCCCCGCGUUCGAGUCGCGGCAGAGACC